GACGAACGCUGGCGGCGUGCUUAACACAUGCAAGUCGAACGGAAAGGCCCUGCUUUUGUGGGGUGCUCGAGUGGCGAACGGGUGAGUAACACGUGAGUAACCUGCCCUUGACUUUGGGAUAACUUCAGGAAACUGGGGCUAAUACCGGAUAGGAGCUCCUGCUGCAUGGUGGGGGUUGGAAAGUUUCGGCGGUUGGGGAUGGACUCGCGGCUUAUCAGCUUGUUGGUGGGGUAGUGGCUUACCAAGGCUUUGACGGGUAGCCGGCCUGAGAGGGGGACCGGCGCAAUUGGGACUGAGAUAGGGACCGGCCUCCUCCGGGAGGCGGGGGGGGGAAGGGUGCCAAAGGGGGCGGGGGCCUGAUGCGGCACCGCCCGGGGCGGGAUGGCGGCUUUGGGGUUGUAAACGUCUUUCGCCUGUAACGAAGGGGGAGGGGGGGUAAGGGGAAAAAAAGCCCCGGCUAACUACGUG
rnacentral:rRNA from 1 species